AAGAAAAACACACCGUGCGAUUGACUGGAAGUCUCUCUCGACCACCAAGUUGUGUUUUUAAAGACGAUUACAAUACAAAAGUUUGAAGCUCGAUGCAGCAACAGGUUACCACCUCACUCCUCAUGUGGAUCAUGCUGCGAUCUUCAGGCACCUACUGAGACCUAAUGCUCACAAGAGCAUCGAACAAGCUUUCCCAUGAUGCUCAGAGCUUCUUUUCCAGCAGACGGUGAUGAAAAAAACUGUUCGCUGCCUUAGACCAUCCUCACUGCCUUCAUCUCUGCUUUUCAACUUCUACCCCCCUGAGGUGAAAGGACCAGACUGC